AUUGAACGCUGGCGGCAUGCUUUACACAUGCAAGUCGAACGGUAACAGGCCGCAAGGUGCUGACGAGUGGCGGACGGGUGAGUAAUGCAUCGGAACGUGCCCAGUCGUGGGGGAUAACUACUCGAAAGAGUAGCUAAUACCGCAUACGAUCUAUGGAUGAGAGCGGGGGACCGUAAGGCCUCGCGCGAUUGGAGCGGCCGAUGUCAGAUUAGGUAGUUGGUGGGGUAAAGGCUCACCAAGCCAACGAUCUGUAGCUGGUCUGAGAGGACGACCAGCCACACUGGGACUGAGACACGGCCCAGACUCCUACGGGAGGCAGCAGUGGGGAAUUUUGGACAAUGGGCGCAAGCCUGAUCCAGCAAUGCCGCGUGCAGGAAGAAGGCCUUCGGGUUGUAAACUGCUUUUGUACGGAACGAAACGGCUCUGGUUAAUACCCGGGGCUAAUGACGGUACCGUAAGAAUAAGCACCGGCUAACUACGUG
rnacentral:rRNA from 1 species